rnacentral:rRNA from 1 species
AGACUGAACUUUGGGAUUAUCACCCUCAUCCCCAAAGUAACGGGAGCGUCGCACAUCCGCCAGUUCCACCCGAUUACGGUGAUCAAUGUCAUCUUCCACAUCCUUGCGAAGGGGUACGCCACUACAGUGGCCCCAAUAGCAGACCGAUCACACACCUGGCAGUUGGCAUUCAUCCAGGGCCAGUACAUCCUUGAUGGAGUUCUAGUGUUUCACGAAGCACUCCAUGAGGUGCACUCCAAACACCUCAAGGUAGUUUUCAUGAAACUGGACUUCCACAAGGCUUACGACAUGGUCAAUUCGCCCUUCCUUCGGGAAUGCUUGCUCCGGAAGGGAUUCGAAGAUAGAUGGGUGACCCUCAUGAUGCAAAUGGUCUCCUUGGGCUGGAUUGCGGUGAACAUAAAUGGUGAGAUUGGCUCUUACUUUCCCAUAUUCUAUGGGGUCUGUCAGGGCAAUCCCUUCUCUCCGUUCCUCUUCAACAUGGUCGUUGUGUUGGGGAACACAGUAAUUUCAAAAUUUUCCUACGUACACGCAAGAUCAUGGUGA